rnacentral:rRNA from 1 species
CCUACGGGAGGCAGCAGUGGGGAAUAUUGCACAAUGGGGGAAACCCUGAUGCAGCGACGCCGCGUGAGUGAAGAAGUAUUUCGGUAUGUAAAGCUCUAGCAGCAGGGAAGAAGAAAGACGGUACCUGAAUAAGAAGACCCGGCUAACGACGUGGCAGCAGCCGAGGUAAUACGUAGGGGGCAAGCGUUAUCCGGAUUUACUGGGUGUAAAGGGAGCGUAGACGGCGGUGCAAGUCUGAAGUGAAAGCCCAGGUCUCAACCCUGGGACUGCUUUGGAAACUGUGGAGCUAGCGUGCUGGAGAGGUAAGUGGAAUUCCUAGUGUAGCGGUGAAAUGCGUAGAUAUUAGGAGGAACACUAGUGGCGAAGGCGGCUUACUGGACAGUAACUGACGUUGAGGCUCGAAAGCGUGGGGAGCAAACAGGAUUAGAUACCCUGGUAGUC